rnacentral:rRNA from 1 species
CCUACGGGCGGCUGCAGUGGGGAAUAUUGCACAAUGGGCGCAAGCCUGAUGCAGCCAUGCCGCGUGUGUGAAGAAGGCCUUCGGGUUGUAAAGCACUUUCAGCGGGGAGGAAGGCGUUAAGGUUAAUAACCUUGGCGAUUGACGUUACCCGCAGAAGAAGCACCGGCUAACUCCGUGCCAGCAGCCGCGGUAAUACGGAGGGUGCAAGCGUUAAUCGGAAUUACUGGGCGUAAAGCGCACGCAGGCGGUCUGUCAAGUCGGAUGUGAAAUCCCCGGGCUCAACCUGGGAACUGCAUUCGAAACUGGCAGGCUAGAGUCUUGUAGAGGGGGGUAGAAUGCCAGGUGUAGCGGUGAAAUGCGGAGAGAUCUGGAGGAAUACCGGUGGCGAAGGCGGCCCCCUGGACAAAGACUGACGCUCAGGUGCGAAAGCGUGGGGAGCAAACAGGAUUAGAUACCCGAGUAGUC